UAGGGAAUCUUCGGCAAUGGACGAAAGUCUGACCGAGCAACGCCGCGUGAGUGAAGAAGGUUUUCGGAUCGUAAAACUCUGUUGUUAGAGAAGAACAAGGACGUUAGUAACUGAACGUCCCCUGACGGUAUCUAACCAGAAAGCCACGGCUAACUACGUGCCAGCAGCCGCGGUAAUACGUAGGUGGCAAGCGUUGUCCGGAUUUAUUGGGCGUAAAGCGAGCGCAGGCGGUUUCUUAAGUCUGAUGUGAAAGCCCCCGGCUCAACCGGGGAGGGUCAUUGGAGACUGGGAGACUUGAGUGCAGAAGAGGGGGGUGGAAUUCCAUGUGUAGCGGUGAAAUGCGUAGAUAUAUGGAGGAACACCAGUGGCGAAAGCGGCUCUCUGGUCUGUAACUGACGCUGAGGCUCGAAAGCGUGGGGAGCAAACAGG
rnacentral:rRNA from 1 species